AUAGGAGCUGGUAUCAGGCACAACUUUUCCGCCCAUAACACCUAGCCUCGCCACACCCACAAGGGAAUUCAGCAGUGAUAAACAUUGAGCAUAAGCGAUAGCUUGACUCAGUUAAAUUAAACAUAGCCGGCCAAUCUGGUGCCAGCCGCCGCGGUUACACCACUGUGGCUCAAAUUGACUUCUUUCGGCGUAAAGCGUGCUUAAAGCCUAAAAUUUCUUGGAAUUAAACUGAAACUAAGCUGUGACACGCUUGUUACUCAAGAAAACCAAAAACGAAAGUUAUUCCAAUUUUUUCAACUUGAAUUCACGACAACUAGGAAACAAACUGGGAUUAGAUACCCCACUAUGCCUAGUCGUAAACUUUAAUCUACUCCCACAUCGCCCGGGAACUACGAGCUAAGCUUAAAACCCAAAGGACUUGACGGUACCCCAUAUCCCCCUAGAGGAGCCUGUCCUAUAAUCGAUAACCCCCGUUUAACCUCACCAUUUUUUGCCAGUCAGCCUGUAUACCUCCGUCGUCAGCUUACCACGUGAGCGUCAGUGAGCCUAAUGUUUCUCCAACUACACGUCAGGUCAAGGUGCAACAUAUAAGAUGGGAAGAGAUGGGCUACACUUUCUACCAUAGAAUAAACGAAAGAUAA
rnacentral:rRNA from 1 species